CCUACGGGUGACUGCAGUGAGGAAUAUUGGUCAAUGGCCGUAAGGCUGAACCAGCCAAGUCGCGUGAAGGAAGAAGGAUCUAUGGUUUGUAAACUUCUUUUAUAGGGGAAUAAAGGUAUCCACGUGUGGCUAUUUGCAUGUACCCUAUGAAUAAGCAUCGGCUAACUCCGUGCCAGCAGCCGCGGUAAUACGGAGGAUGCGAGCGUUAUCCGGAUUUAUUGGGUUUAAAGGGUGCGUAGGUGGUUUUUUAAGUCAGCGGUGAAAGUUUGGGGCUCAACCAUAAAAUUGCCGUUGAAACUGGAAGACUCGAGUGUGUUUGAGGUAGGCGGAAUGCGCGGUGUAGCGGUGAAAUGCAUAGAUAUCACGCAGAACUCCGAUUGCGAAGGCAGCUUACUAAGCCAUAACUGACACUGAAGCACGAAAGCGUGGGGAUCAAACAGGAUUAGAUACCCGGGUAGUC
rnacentral:rRNA from 1 species